GAUGAACGCUAGCUACAGGCUUAACACAUGCAAGUCGAGGGGCAGCAUUUUAGUUUGCUUGCAAACUAAAGAUGGCGACCGGCGCACGGGUGAGUAACACGUAUCCAACCUGCCGAUAACUCGGGGAUAGCCUUUCGAAAGAAAGAUUAAUAUCCGAUAGCAUAUUGAGAUCGCAUGAUUUUGAUAUUAAAGAAUUUCGGUUAUCGAUGGGGAUGCGUUCCAUUAGUUUGUUGGCGGGGUAACGGCCCACCAAGACUACGAUGGAUAGGGGGUUCUGAGAGGAAGGUCCCCCCACAUUGGAACUGAGACACGGUCCAAACGUCCUACGGGAGGCAGCAGUGAGGAAUAUUGGGUCAAUGGGGCGAGAGCCCUGAACCAGCCAAGUAGCGUGAAGGAUGACUGCCCUAUGGGUUGUAAACUUCUUUUAUACGGGUAAUAAAGUGAGCCACGUGUGGCUUUUUGUAUGUACCGUAUGAAUAAGGAUCGGCUAACUCCGUGCCAGCAGCCG
rnacentral:rRNA from 1 species